rnacentral:rRNA from 1 species
UACGAAGGGGGCUAGCGUUGUUCGGAAUUACUGGGCGUAAAGCGCACGUAGGCGGACAUUUAAGUCAGGGGUGAAAUCCCGGGGCUCAACCCCGGAACUGCCUUUGAUACUGGGUGUCUCGAGUCCGGAAGAGGUGAGUGGAAUUCCGAGUGUAGAGGUGAAAUUCGUAGAUAUUCGGAAGAACACCAGUGGCGAAGGCGGCUCACUGGACCGGUAUUGACGCUGAGGCACGAAAGCGUGGGGAGCAAACAGG